rnacentral:rRNA from 1 species
AGCUCUCCGAGUGGUGUGGAUGUUUAUUGGGCCUAAAGCAUCCGUAGCUGGCUAAGUUAGUCCCUUGUUAAAUCCACCGAAUUAAUCGUUGGAUUGCGGGGGAUACUGCUUGGCUAGGGGACGAGAGAGGCAGACGGUAUUUCCGGGGUAGGGGUGAAAUCCUAUAAUCCCGGGAAGACCACCAGUGGCGAAGGCUGUCUGCUAGAACGCGCCCGACGGUGAGGGAUGAAAGCUGGGGGAGCGAACCG